GUGCUCGCUUCGGCAGCACAUAUACUAAAAAUAGAACGAUACAGAGAAGAUCAGCAUGACCUCUGCGCAAGGGUGGAUGUGCAAAUUCAUGGAGUGUUCCAUAUUUUU